GGGUGGAGCAGUCUGGUAGCUCGUCGGGCUCAUAACCCGAAGGUCGUUGGUUCAAAUCCAGCCCC
rnacentral:tRNA from 1 species